CUCAGACAUGAUUUUUUUCCGCUUUUUAGCGGAAUUCCGCUUUUUCUUUGUUCAGUUUCGAUUAAUUUACCUGUUUUCCGUUUUUUUUUUCUGUGUAGUAACAUUUUGUAAAGUUCCGAUUUAUUUCCUCAAAAUAAAGUCGAAGAUUCUGUCAAUUUGCCGAUGCAUGGCUACCGAAAUCUGGCAUUGCCGGAGGUUAUAAUGUUAUCUGAAUGGAGUCUAUUGUCCAGUCAGAUCGUGUGUUUCAUUAAGCCGAACUGUUUCAACCAAUCGGGAACAAGAUACCAUUAUUCGAAGGCAGAAGCAGAGCCAGCCCGGUCAAAAAUGGCGGCAACGUCUCGGAGUAUCGUGGAUCGAUCAGAUAAAGAUUUUGAUGCGCGUACAGUGGACAAGGGGUUGAAAAACAUCUGGAGGUGGGAUUGGCUUGAACGGAAGGUCGAAGGGGAAUACGUGGGAAAAUUCAUGAGGAAGAUAACAUCCGCCGGUUUGGCUUUCUGCGAGUUGUGCCACAAAGAUGUGCAUUAUGGGGGUCGCGGAUGGAAGGCGCUAGCACAGCACAUCGGCCAGAAAAUUCACAGAGAUAACCUGAAAUUACGGUCGUCUAACUACAGUCUAUCUGCUGCUUUUGGACAAAAGUCAACAGAUUCCAAGGCUCCUUAUGGUAUACACCCAAUGUUUAAAGCUGCUGCUGCAAAGGCCCCUGAAGGAGCUUCUGCUGAAAUUGCCACACCAUUAAAGGACAGAAUCGUCAAUCAAGAAGCAAUGCUUUUGGCAUUCACGGCUGAAUAUUCCUUAUCAUUUGCCAUUGUUCCUAAUCUCAUUCAGUUGGCGAAAACCUUAUCUCAAGAUAAAAGGGCACUGGAACAUCUAGAAAUGUCACGCACAACUGCUUCCUACAAAACCAGGUUUGGUGUUGGAAAAAUGUUUGAGGACAAACUGUUGGAAAACCUGAGGUCCGUUCACCUCUCACUAAACAUCGAUGAAAGCACGAGUUCAAACUACCAAAAAGUUCUCACAGUUCUUGCAAGUUACUUCAGUCCAGAUUUAAAUAAGGUAGUUGUGCAACAUUUUGCCUCUCUGACCUGCAUCAAAGUUACAAGUGAGUCUCUCUAUCAGAAAAUAGUGACUUUGUUUGAAACCAAUGAAGUGCCCUGGAGUAAUCUUAUGUCCAUACUCAUGGAUUCUUGUCAUGUUAUGAGGGGAUCAAAGUCAGGACUGGAAAUUCAAAUUCGGGAGAAAAAAAGCUGGGCACCUGUUGGAUGUUGAUGGUGACAUUUGCCACCAUAUCCACAAUGCCACAAAGGCAUUCUGUAAGCCCUUUGACUGGUUCUUAGAACAGCUGUUGAAUGAUUUGGUCAAUGACAUGAAGUGGUCUCCUGAUUUGAGGGAGAUGUACCAGGAAAUGUGUGAAAUUCUGUGAAUAAAGUACAGUAUAUCACAGAGGUUUGUCAGCCACAGGUGGUUGUCUGUGUAUGAUGUGACUGUGGACACCAAUCGGCUGUUUGAUGCAUCAACUGUUUUCUGUUUCCCCAUGUUGAUGAAAGAGGAACACAGACAACAUCUGCCGACAGUGGUAGAAAUCUACAAAAGAUUAAACGUAUCUGAAGCAUCCAAGGAACGGAUACGGGAAAUACACAAGUAUAUCCAUGGAGUUUUGCUGUUUGAUGUUGACUAAAGAUGGGCUCUCAAUGGACAUUGACUGGAACUUGGUCAAAAAAAAUUGACAAAGGAAGGCAGGGAGAGGAAAGACCGCAUCGUCACACGGAUUUUUACACAGAGAAAACAGACAAAAAUGGUGAUGGGCUUGUACUGUUCAGUCUUCCCUCUCCUCAAACACUUUGUACUACUGUUUGAGAUGAAAGAGCCACUCAUCCACCAACUUCAUGAAUCACAGUUAAAGCUGUUUAAGGACUUCCUAGGAUGAUAUGUCAAAGCAGAAGUCAUCAACACAGCAUCAACCGGAGCUCAAUUGAAGAAGCUGGAUCUGAAGCAAGCUAUUAUGAAACCGAAGCAGAUGUUCAUGGGAAGUAAAGCAUUGAAACUGAUCCAGAGUCCUUCAACGCCGACCUACAUGGUUACUUCAUUUCUAAAACAGGUCAAGGAAGCCUACAUCGCCUGUGGGGAUACCCUGCAGAAGAAAUUAGCACUAAGUAACAAGUUUUUGAAGGCUGUUUCUGCCCUUCACCCUCAUGCAAGUGGUCACACACUUACUCUUUCUUUGCUCCAGAAGUUACCAGCACUGGCGCCUAAUGUCCUGACAGAGACAGAAGAGGAACUUUAUGAGUUAAAUAUCAGAAAAUACCAGACAGAUCAACAUCCUGAUUUCCCAGAAGGGUCUCGUAUUGAUGAGUGGUGGGGGAAAGAAGAGAUAUGUCUGAAAUAUCCGUGCCUUUCCAAGAUGGCUAAGGCUGUUCUGUCCUGUUUCCAUGGACCCCAGGUUGAAUCUUCCUUCAAUGUAAUGAAUGACGUCAUUGAUGCCAAAUCUGGGAGACUCAACAUUGAAACCUACCAAGCCAUACAAAACAUAAAAUAUGGUUUGAAAGCUUCUGGUAAAUCUGCUGUGGAGUAUUUCAAGAAGAGGGACCAUCUCCAUGAUAAGGUUGAUCACACUCUUGUGAGGAAUGUCAAGCGAUCAUUCAGCCAGUAUAAGGCCAUUCUUGAAGAGAAGAAAUCAGUUGCCACAGAAAAACAGAAACAGCUGGACAUUAGGGCACAGAGCACUUUGACGAAAAGGAAAGCCAAGGAGUUGUGUCAAAAGGCAGCCAAGAAAGCCAGAGUGGAACACCAUGGUGCCAUUGAAUGAAAAACUGGACAGUUGUAUUCUGUGCCAUAACAUGCCAAUCUAAACAUUUGACUGAAAAUGCUGAAAAUGACCUGUACACUACUAACAAUGUCUGAACCAGAAAAAAUCUGUUACAUGCAUUAAAUUUUGGCUUUGGUACAAAAAUGCAUUCUUCUCUCUGUCCAGAAGAUUAGAUUUCUGUGGGGGCAAAGCAGAUGGGAAAAUCUGUAAGUCAGAAAACAGUGUUGGUUUUCUUCAUAUUUUACAGGAUUCUAGUUUGAUUUUAAUAGCCAAAAACGUCCCAGAAUCCAUUUUCAGCCACGCAGAUUUUUCUAGCUUCCGGGGCCUAGGCGGCCACUGGACCCCGGCCUUUUUGGGCUAUGAUAGUAAAUUUCAGCUAUUUUCUUGGUUCACCACAAUCAUGUCUGAUAUCUGGGUAGGAGUUUCUCAUAUGUCAGGGUAAGAGUUCCUCAUAUGUCAGGGUAGUGGGAUCUGUUAUGUCAGGGUAAGAGUUCCUCGUAUGUUA